AAUUUUGUACAUGUCCAAAUAAAGGUGUUUUAUGUAUUUCUAUGCUCUGGUGUUAAUGAUACCUUAGUGUAUGCUUUUAUAUGCAGUGUUACGUAUCAAGCCUGAAUAUCAAUUUUUACAUGAUGUAUAUGAAUAAUUUUCGACAAAUCUAAGUUGAUCAAUGAUCUACUUUGCUGAUUAAUUAUCUAGGCAAGAGUCAUCUUGAGUGGACCAGAUACAUGGAGCGUUUAGAAGUCAAAUGUGGCUACCUAAAGCUUGCCUCUCUCUUUUCUGUGCUUAACCACAUAAUCUAUUGGUCGUAUGUUUAUAUUUGUUUACCCAUUUUCUUUGCCCUUUCCUACCUUACAAGUCAAUUUGAUGAUACCUUUGAGAAAUAUUUAGUUAGAAAAGAAAUAAUUGAUAAGUUUUUGUAGUCUCUUCUCAUUAGUUGUAUGUGGUUGAUUAAGGCAAGAAAAGCCAAAAGGUGAGAAAGGCAAGUAUAUGAUUCAUGUGACCACAAUAAUUUGCAGGCACUUGAUGCUAUUUUGCCUAAUGUUAUUAUGCUUGUUAUAGCUCUGUGUUUUAGAUGAUGAAAAAGAAGCACAUGGUUGCUCGUCCUGUUGAUGCUUUAGCUUAGUGGAAGUUCUCUUACUUUUUGUCUAGCGAUAACAAAAGAGCAACUCCAAUAUAUUUGCUGAAGUUGGUGGUUUAAGAGCAUACACUUUCUUUUUUAUUACACACUGCUUCGGAGAUUGUCAUAAAUCAAUCGAAUAAAGAGCACAAAUAAAAUAGAACACUUUCUUUUACUCUGUUUUCCCUUGAGAAUUCUUUUUGAGGCCUAAAAACGAUUUGAGACCAGAGUUCAAAUGUCAAUAUUCAUCUCUAAUUCUUACUCGACUGUCUUACCUCUUUAUCUCUUUUCAGCUGCUAAACUAGCAGAGGUAGUGGCAUAACUUUGAAUUAACGAAGUACAGGAGCAGCAUGGUUCGUACGGUAUCGAAAUGUCUAAACGUAGUUUCUUGUUUCUUCUGGAUUUCUAAAAUUUGGCAGCAUAAGAAUUUGUCUAGCAAUGAAGCAUUUUCUGUAUCGGUUCAACUGUAUAUGACUUCGUGCUCAUCGAUAGGUUGGAGUUCAGUGGAUGGACUGAUGGCAGGGAGAUGGAGUUGCAGCCAUCGGCGCCUGGUUUCUUUCAUCCUUAUGCAGUGUUGAUACCCAAUGGAGCGGCGCCGAAUGAAGCAAAAAGAGCUAGAGAGGCUGUCGGCGCUCCGGCAGCGAUGACGCCCAUGGAUCAUAGCCGCUCCGAUAAAAUCUAAACAUUGUUUCCACCUCCGCUGUUUCAACUUCCAUGAGGAACAGAGUCAACUACCUGUAGUUGUCUCCAUUGGAUUUUGCCUCUUGUCUGCCUCUAUUUCUUUUAUACUCUCUAAAG